GUACGUCAAGCUGCGUUAAGAGUGAGAAGCAUCCAUUCCUUCGCAGGCCUCUCUUUGCAUUGUAAAUCACUUCGUUCUCACGAAAAUAGUCUUUAGCUUCUAUAAAGAUGUAAAAGUCAUCGGCAAUUUCCAGCGCGGUGUAAGGAGAAGAUGGAAAAAGGGGGAAUUUUAUUUUUUAAAUCCCAUUUCAGUAGAAAGUGCCAAGAUGAUUCGAGGACGCGAAUCCUGAUGCCUUUAGAUUAUGCACAGAGCUUUUUUAGCAAAUGGUGGCAGCUUGAUUGCAAACAUCUUGCGUACUUGUAUGUUUUAGGGGGGAAGAUCCUCGCUUUCUCGGGGCUCCUAGAGCUGGGGACAAGAAGAUGCAGUCUUGCCGGCUUGCUGCUUCCCCCCGUCUGAAAGAAGGAGAAAAGAGCCAUCAUUGGAGGGGUUUCAGUUCCAAAACGUGGACCAGCCCGGCAAGGUCAGAGGUCCUGGACCGCGGGAGACCAAGGUAAUGAUGAUGUCAUGAGAAAUCUCAAGUACACACAGCUAUUGCUAUGCAUGAGUGACCAGCAACCGGCCCGUCUCGCAGCCAGCAUCGCCUUCUCCUCCUCCUUCUCCUCCUCCUUCUCUCCCGGCUGCAGGGAGAUCCGCCCGCCGCCUUCACACUCCGCCUCGCCAGCGCAGACCGCUCCGAUAUCCGAACACUGGCAGAAAGAUCUCUCUAAGGACAGAUAAAAGCGUUUUCAGAACCGGGGAGGAUCAGCUUUUUGCCUGCAUUUCUCUUCUGGUAGCCUCAACUUGUGCAGAGGGAUGCGAGGAGGCACUUUGCUGUGGCUCAGAGCCGAGGCCUUGCUGUCUGAGAGGCCGGGAACCAGGGAGAAGAAAUGUAUGCUGACGUUACUUCAAGAACCGAUGGAGGUCUCCAGAUGGCUGUGACUUAAAGAAUAAAUACCCUGCAUGGAUUUCUCAAAAAUAAACAGUCUCUAUUUACUUAGAAGAGGAAUACUGAUGAUUCUCCAAUUGCUGUCAUCGGAGAUCCGUCCUUAUGGCAGCACCCCCACCUUCCACAGGGAAGACGCACAAACCUCUGAGAGGUACAUAAGAAGAGCACACCAUCAAAUAAAUCUCCUUGUCCUACUAAAUUAUGAUAGAAUUCGUGUGGAUGUAAAGAGUAGUACAACAGCACAACAGAGACCAGCUUUCUCUGCAGAGCAUCCCUUCCCUCUCAGCCAGUAGUCCCCCUAAACAGUGCCCUCCUGAACCGGGAUGAGCCGAGACGGGCCUGCCGCACCCUGCCUUGGCCGGAAGGCGAAGAGUGCCACGAGCAUCAUCACAGCUUUGCCAACAACCUCCUCGGCACAGAGGGAAGGAGAGUUGCGUGUUUAGACAGGGAUAAGUCUUGAGAAACCCGUGAAGUGGUGACUGCUUUCUACAAGUGACCCACUGCGUGGGGCAAGGGAUGGACUGAUUGCAGCCUCUUGCACCUCGGCCAGGAGCAAGAAGUGCCUUCGGCUCGGUUUUUGGAGGAGGGUUUUUUUUUGUUGGUUGGUGUUUUGAUUUGGUUUGGUUGUUAUUGGGUUGUUUGGUUGGGUUUUUUUGGUGAGUUUUUUUGGUUGGCUGUUUGGUUGGUUUGGGUUUUUUUAUCUUGAAUAUCUAAAGGCCACAAGAGUUUUCCCUGUGUUCCACCUCAAUGAGUGUUUGUCCCUCUUACUGCACACCUUCCGAGGGCACCCAGGCAUUGUCAAGGCUCCUCUCUAAGAAGCCACGGCUCUGCUUUCUUUGACACCCUGCCUGAUAAUUAACAUUUUCCACAGCUAACUACGGCCCACGACCAACAGUUUAACAUAAGACGCACAAAAUCGGCCUGGUAAGCCGCCGUGUCAAGUCAUAAAGCCUGUCUUGUUAACCAAAUUUCCCUCGCCUGGGGUCGAGUGGAAGCUUAGAGACUCGCCGGGGCCACAGACUCCAGAUGCCCGGGGAGAGGGGGCCCUAGGGUAGUCUCACAGUGCUCCAGAAAACCCUCAUCUCUCUGGGGCUCUGCAUCCCCUAUUUUGCAAGGAAAUCAAGAUCGGUCUAUCCCACUCCUCUCCUGCACACACACGCACUCCGCGGUACUUACAUUUUUCGCCUUUAUCAGAGCAAGAUUCGGCCCCAGAUCUAAGGGGUGAGCCGAGUCUCCUGUGGCAAACAAAGAUCCCCAAGGCUGGACCCCCUCGUAGCAGAGAAAGCUCUUUCAUGUUUUCAGAAAGUCCUGUAUUUCCCCUUGCCAUCCCUGUUUAAAAGUGCCGCUUAGCUCCACAGUGUCAUUCUUGUACCAAUGGCUCUGAGUUAGAAAUCAUCCAUCCGAGGAAAACGGGAAAGGAAUAGAAAGUUGGCUUGCGUUUGCCUUGGUUUGUUUUGGUUUCGGGGUUUGGGGCUUUUUUUUCAAUUUUUAGUUCUUCUCCCCUCCUCCUCCCCCUCCCCGCCUCGUCUCCCCCUCCCCUUUUGUUUCCAUGUCUCUUCCUACGCCCCGGAGUAAAAACUGAAGUGUUGCGUGUGAA